CACGAAGGAAGUAAAUGAAGACGUCACGGGGGGCAUGUCAAACGGGCUGCGUGACCUUUGACCCCACUUGUGCAUGCAGGGCCUAGCCUGUGUUAUUGUGCAGUCUGGCUCCUAAGCUAGCUAGCUGUACCUUGCUGGUCACCUUCAAGAUUAUACUGCAGGGGAGAUGUCCUGGAGUUACCUGUGCAUGUGUGAUAAAAGAAUCAGUCUGGGAGCCACACCAUUUCUCAGGGGGAGGGGGGAAGAAGUGAGAAAAGCGUAUCUGCCGGAAGAGACUCUUGCAGCAUUUUAGUGUGCCGUUCUUGGAAUGUAGAGAUUUGUAACGUCGGAGGUUAUAAGAUAUACGAACUUAUAUAGUGAGCAGUGCAUGUCCUGUUGUAAAUAUUGAUGUUAAUAUUUGCAGUCUGCAACAAAGUUUAUACUGACUACACUCAUAAUAUUAACCAUGCAGGGAAAUUGGAGAAAUAGUCUCAAUCCUCAUCAGCUUUAUACUCCUGCAUGGUUGCUGCCCUGAGGGGUCUAAAUAAACUUCCUCUUUCCACUUUAAAGUAUUCAACUCUUUCUGGUUGGAGAAACCAGUUGGAACAAAUAUCUCUGCUGCUGAUAAUUCACCAUGCAGGGAGGGACAUUAUUCGACUAGUGAAUUUUGUUCGGGGGACAGUAUUCACUCUCACACUAGAUGAACGUUGUUACCCUCGCGACUGCGCUGCACCUAGGAAAGAACGGAUUGCAUAUGCUCUGCUUGUUUAAAAGAACUUUCAUCUCAUCUAUGUUUCGCUUUUUAAUUAGUAUAGAAGCGAUAACAUAACUUGGCAAAAGAUACUGUAAACUCUCGCUAUUCCAGCUCUCUAAAGUACGGCCAUUUCGAUAUACCGGCCAUUUGGUUUGGCACAGAUACUGUGGCCCUGAAAUGGGCCAUUCGUGUACUGGCUGCCUCAAACUAUUAUUUUUAAUGUAUGUUUUAUUACGGUCGGAUAUGUUAUUUCCAGGCUCUAUUAAUUAGUUGUUUAUGUGUUGUAAUCAAGUAUUACCCGUGUACCGUAGAUGGGUAUGUGCGUGCUGACUGUAUCUAAUCUAUAAUUAUCGCAUGUUUGGAUAGACUGAUGCUAAUACAACGAGUGCAGAAGGCAGCUGGAGUGUCUUCAUCACCAUAGCUACUUGUACAAGAUAAUAGCACACCCACGUGGCAUGGUGGCUUGACAGUGACGUUAGCUGAGCUGAAACAGUGUCUGCAGACUGUAGCAGGAUCACUGGAAUCAAAGUCAAAGACGGCUAAAGUGGAGUUUAUGCAUAGCAGGAAAAGCAAACUGUUAAUUGCUAAGGCAUUUGAUGAUGUGAUGAAUAAUGUGUCCAAGGAGAAGUUUGAUAACUGCUUAUGGUUCAACAGCUGGAUAAGCCAAUAAAGUUGUUAUAACAUUUGAAGGCGUACAUUGUAGCCCUGACCAAAACCUCUUAGCCAGGCUAUUAAUUAUACACUCAUGUAGCUAAAGUAGUUGACAGUCCCACUUCCCACUGGGAAUGGGUCAAUUUCCUAUCUAGAAUGUGUGACAUGAUUUUGAGUUCAAGCAUGGGAAUACUAUACAACGUACCUCCUAAAGUUACAAAGAGUGUGUAGGGGGAUACGUAUAUGUACGACAGGGUCAAUAAGAUCCACUUUUACCAUGCUGAAGAGUUAGCUCCUCUUUUUGAUCAGUUAUUUGUGGAAACUUUUAACAGGGGAAGGAUGAAGUGCGUGAAUGAUAACCCCAUGUGAUAUUUUAUGACCUUUUGACUGUUUCAUUGUCAUACCCCAGUGACAAGUGAAGUACGCUGUAAAUGUCACAUGAUAUUGGUCCUUCACUCUCAUUGAUCAUAAUGAUUCAUUGGUAGCUGACCAGUUCAACUCCAACCCUUUAACCCUCCCGGCCUGGAAUCGAGGCUACUUUUGUUGUAGUUGUGGUGCACUGUGGCCGGUGUGUAGUCUAUAAUUAUAGUAUUCCAGUAUUUCAUACCCCACCCCCUAGCUAAUUACUGAAAAGUUUACUUUGCGCCUAUUUCACCGUACAUAUAAUUAUAGGUUAUAGUCGUAAAUAUCGCAUAUAAUAUUAUAUAGCCGAUAAUAUUAUAGCUUUGUAUUUAUGUCCAUGCAUUGGGUAAGUGUGUCAUGGUGGAAUGUAAUUUCUAUAAGCACACGUUGUUAAUUUGCUUAGUCUUAUACGUACACUAUUGGUCUUCUCACCCCCCCCCCACACACUCAUUAUUUUAACCAUGUAUUUGACUAUGUUUCAUCAUGAUAGUGUACAAUGAUGUACUGGUAUAUAUACAAUUAUAGAUCCUGUACUCGUUCAUUUUAGUGAGUGCACCACUUUCUGAUUGACAUUCAUCUAGAUGUACAUACAUUCUUCCAUUGCAGAAUUGAAUUGCCAACAAAAGAGCAUGUAGGAAAAAAGUGUGUGGUCGAAAUAAUGAUGACGAUGAUGAUGAUACUGUGUGCAAAGAAACUGCCACAAAAUAUAUUCGUAAAAGGAGUUCUUCACUAAAAAAGGCAAGUAUUUUAUUUAAAUCCCAUUUGAUUCUGUUGAGCAGCUAUUAAUAAUUAUUGCUUUAGGAUACUUUAGCUCUAUACUUACCCAAUAAAAAUGAAAUUAGAUUAUGUGCAUGACUGCUGCACACAUUGAUAUCCAUGGGUUGUACUAAUAACUUAGGAACAGAGUAUAUACUUAUACUUUAAAUUUGCUAAAUGAAGUAUUAAUGUAGUGGCCAAACAAUUUACAGUAUUAUUAUAAUACAUAAUGGUUUCUCUUAAUGGUCGUAACCAGUUCCACUCGUGAUCUUAAUUGUGUGUCUUCAUUCCUUUCUCUCAAAUUGAUUGGGUGUUCUGUAACGUCAUGUGCAUUUAUGCAGAGGGUGUUUCAAUGUUUUUAUGACAGAAAUAAGGCUGCAUCAGAAAAGUGGAAAGAAAUUAAACAAAGGUUAGCCAAGCAAGUACCUUCAACUUAAUCCAACAUCUAGUCCUUUCAAUGUAUGGCAUGAAACUCAACGUAAACAAUUACCUGCAAUGAAAACAUGAGUUGUACUGUUUUGCCUAUUAUACACACAUGUACAUGUUGUUCUGUUAUGCUGAUCAGUCAUAAUAAUUAUUUCAAGGA